GAUAUUGUCCCUAAGAGAACGAGAUGCUCUUUGCAGAAGACAUAGAAGAUUCCUGAAACUGGGAAAGGGGCCUAGAAACCUGGAGAAGAGUGAAGAAGGCAUUUUCCCUCCCCUGCUUAGGCAUCUGCCACCAUAUUCAAUACUUUCUCCAGGGUUCUCAGGUUUCCCAUUGGCUUGGAAUUUGUCAAUUAGUUUUGCUGGCUGGACAGAAAGCCACACGGAUCCUCUUGUCUUGGUCUCCUGACAUUUGGAUUAAAGUCAUUUCCUGAAUCUAUGACAAGACUUGAGAGACCACCAAAGCCCAAGAGGUCUUGUUUCACAAGAGAAUCUUCAGGUGUUUUAGGCCUUUAUGACACAUCCCAAGCCCUUCAGAGAGCCACAAGAAUGGCCCAGAGGAAAUUCUAAACCACUAUGACUCAUGGGUCACCUGGAGGUGCAGGCCAUCGCUAUGUUAAACCUAUGAGGUGAUGAUAAACCACACAA
rnacentral:lncRNA from 14 species